GAUGAGGUAGCUCAGUGGUUAGAGCGCGAAUUUACUGCCGGAAGAUCCGUGGUUCGAACCCGGCCUCAGCA
rnacentral:tRNA from 1 species